rnacentral:rRNA from 1 species
AACGAACGCUGGCGGCAGGCUUAACACAUGCAAGUCGAACGCGUGUAGCAAUACACGAGUGGCGCACGGGUGAGUAACGCGUGGAUAUCUGCCUUUUGGUUCGGAAUAACUCCGGGAAACUGGAGCUAAUACCGGAUGGUUCCUUCGGGAUAAAGAUUUAUCGCCAAAAGAUGAGUCCGCGUACGAUUAGCUAGUUGGUGAGGUAAUGGCUCACCAAGGCGACGAUCGUUAGCUGGUCUGAGAGGACGAUCAGCCACACUGGGACUGAGACACGGCCCAGACUCCUACGGGAGGCAGCAGUGGGGAAUAUUGGACAAUGGGGGCAACCCUGAUCCAGCCAUGCCGCGUGAGUGAUGAAGGCCUUCGGGUUGUAAAGCUCUUUUGGCGGGGACGAUGAUGACGGUACCUGGAUAAGAAGCCCCGGCUAACUUCGUGCCAGCCGCCGCAGUAA